AUUGAACGCUGGCGGCAUGCUUUACACAUGCAAGUCGAACGGUAACAGGCCGCAAGGUGCUGACGAGUGGCGAACGGGUGAGUAAUGCAUCGGAACGUGCCCAGUCGUGGGGGAUAACGCAGCGAAAGAUGCGCUAAUACCGCAUACGAUCUACGGAUGAAAGCGGGGGACCGUAAGGCCUCGCGCGAUUGGAGCGGCCGAUGUCAGAUUAGAUAGUUGGUGGGGUAAAGGCUCACCAAGCCGACGAUCUGUAGCUGGUCUGAGAGGACGACCAGCCACACUGGGACUGAGACACGGCCCAGACUCCUACGGGAGGCAGCAGUGGGGAAUUUUGGACAAUGGGCGCAAGCCUGAUCCAGCAAUGCCGCGUGCAGGAAGAAGGCCUUCGGGUUGUAAACUGCUUUUGUACGGAACGAAAAGGCUCUGGUUAAUACCUGGGGCUCAUGACGGUACCGUAAGAAUAAGCACCGGCUAACUACGUGCCAGCCGCCGCCGUAA
rnacentral:rRNA from 1 species